AUGCAUGUCUAAGUAUAAGCAAUUAUACUGCGAAACUGCGAAUGGCUCAUUAAAUCAGUUAUCGUUUAUUUGAUAGUACCUUUACUACAUGGACAACCGUGGUAAUUCUAGAGCUAAUACAUGCUAAAAACCCCGACUGUCGGGGUGUAUUUAUUAGAUUAAAAACCAAUGCCCUUCGGGGCUUGCAGGUGAAUCAUGAUAACUUCUCGGAUCGCACGGCCUUGUGCUGGCGAUGGUUCAUUCAAAUUUCUGCCCUAUCAACUUUCGAUGGCUGGGUAUUGGCCAGCCAUGGUGACAACGGGUAACGGAGGGUUAGGGCUCGACCCCGGAGAAUCCGCCUGAGAAACGGCGAAUACAUCCAAGGAAGGCAGCAGGCGCGCAAAUUGCCCAAUGCCGACUCGGCGAGGCAGCGACAAGAAAUACUGAUACAGGGCUCUUUUGGGUCUUGUAAUUGGAAUGAGUACAAUCUAAACCCUUAACGANGAACNNNNNNNNNNNNNNNNNNNNNNNNNNNNNNNNNNNNNNNNNNNNNNCAAUAGCGUAUAUUAAAGUUGUUGAGGUUAAAAAGCUCGUAGUUGAACCUUGGUCCUGGCUGGCCGGUCCGCCUCACCGCGUGCACUGGUCCGGCCGGGGCUUUCCCUCUGGGGAUCCGCAUGCCCUUUACUGUGUGUGACGGGGAACCAGGACGUUUACUCUGAACAAAUUAGAUCGCUUCAAGAAGGCCUAUGCUCGAAUAGUCUAGCAUGGAAUAAUGGAAUAGGAUGUGUGGUUCUAUUUUGUUGGUUUCUAGGACCGCCGUAAUGAUUAAUAGGGACAGUCGGGGGCAUCAGUAUUCAAUUGUCAGAGGUGAAAUUCUUGGAUUUAUUGAAGACUAACUACUGCGAAAGCAUUUGCCAAGGAUGUUUUCAUUAAUCAGGAACGAAAGUCAGGGGAUCGAAGACGAUCAGAUACCGUCGUAGUCUUGACCAUAAACUAUGCCGAUUAGGGAU
rnacentral:rRNA from 1 species